AAAGAGUUGAAGAAAAGAGGGCCUUUUGACAGCACUGCGUCGAGUAUUCGUACUAUAUAAAUCCUUCACAAAUUCCUCUUUUGUCACUCUUUAUAAUUCUUUCUUUUCUCUCUCUAAAAUUCCCCCUCUCUCUGUUUUUUUUAUCAUGCAUGUACAUUCAUCAUGAAAUUGGAAAAAUUAGGGCACAAGAAUUGCGAUAAUCGAUGUAAGGGAAGAUGUGAAUUGUGAUUUCUGAUUUUCUUUUCUUGUUUCUUUGGUGUAAAAUUUCUGGGAAAGAUCAAAGGAAAAAGUAUUCGCAUGAAGGGACCGUUAGAUCGAUCAAAAGUAGUGCUGCGGCACUUGCCGCCGACAAUUUCUCAGUCCAUGCUUCUUGAGCAAGUUGAUUCCCGAUUCACUUGUCGCUACAACUGGUUCUGUUUUCUACCCGGAAAGUCCAGCCAGAAGCAUCAAACUUAUGCAAGAGCCUAUAUUGAAUUUAAGAGGCCAGAAGAUGUUAUCGAGUUUGCAGAGUUCUUUGAUGGACACGUUUUUGUAAACGAGAAAGGUACUCAGUUCAAAACUAUUGUUGAGUAUGCUCCUUCACAGCGUGUUCCAAAACACUGGUCCAAGAAGGAUGGCCGCGAAGGAACCAUCUUGAAAGAUCCUGAAUAUCUGGAGUUCCUUGAAAAUAUCUCAAAGCCUGUUGAGAAUCUUCCGAGUGCAGAAAUACAGUUGGAAAGAAAGGAAGCUGAACGCGCUGGUUCUGCAAAGGAUGCUCCUAUAGUUACUCCUUUGAUGGAUUACAUACGUCAGAAAAGAGCCGCCAAGAGUGGAGCUCGGAAAUCUGUAUCUAAUGGGAGACCAACCAGAAGAACGAGUGGCACAUCGACAGGAACUCCUAGCUCAAGUGCAUCUAAACGAAGCUCUGAAAAGAGAAGGGCUUCCACUACUAUGUAUGUUCUUCGAGAUAGUUCUAAGGCUGGGAGUGGCAAAGACAAAACAUAUAUUCUAGCUCCAAAACGUGAUGAUCAGCAGCAGCGUGCUGAGAAGUCUGGUACCUCUGCUCCUGGAUCUGUGGCUAAUGCAGUUGAAGAGGAAACUGGUGGAGCUGCUGAAGUUGGAAAGAAGAAAAUCCUGCUCGUGAAGGGAAAGGAAAAAGAAAAUCCUAAUGUUUCUAGUGGUUCAUUGAUUCAGGAGAAUGUGGCACCUAUUAUUACAAUAACUUCAUCUGCUCUGAAACAGAACCAGCGUCGUGAGGCAAGUGGAAGAAUCAUUAGAAGUAUUCUUCUGAAGGAUGCUCGUCAAAAUCAGGUUCCAUCUGCAUCCCAACAAGAAAAACACAGGGUGGAUAUGGACAAAAAGCCUCCUAGGCCACCCAGUGUGCAGUUGUUUCAGAGAGAAACUAUUGGAGCUAAUGAAGACAAGGUUCUUGGAACUGAUUUGCAUGUUGUCCACACUGAGAAGCAGGAAAAGCGCACUAGGAUCAGGGAUAGGCCUGAUCGUGGUGUUUGGACUCCUCUUCGUCGUUCUGAUAGCUUACAUGCUAGUGAUGAAUCUUUAUCUUCAUCUGCCUCUCAAUCUUCCGAAGUGCCAGAUUUUGUUGAAGGAAGUCAAGGUGAAACCAAACAUGGUCUGGCAAUUGCUCGUGGUGCGGAGUUCAGACCCAUGGGAAGUGGGCGUAACUCUCAUUCUUCUUUUGACAAUGGUACUUAUAAACAUGGUGGUCGUCGUGGUAUAAGGGACGAUGGAAUUUCAGUAGGGGAAGGAAAACCCUUAAGAAGGGGAGGUCCUUCUAGCUAUGGUACCCAUGAGAAACAAGUGUGGGUCCAAAAGUCAAGUUCUGGUACUUAGUUUUGUCUCUAACGGUAAGCUUUAAAGUGGGCUGUUCAUUUCUGUCUCCAAGAACUUCUGGUUCUCAUUUUCCUGAUAUUGCAUGAAAAAAUGCCUGAUAGAUGAAAAUAUGUAUCCAAGAAAAUGCUUAACAGAUGAAUAAAUGAUUGGCAUCGAAGUGUUACCGAUUACCACAGUAGUCAGUCAUACAAAUGUAAUAGUGGUACAAGAUAUACUUUUAUUAUCAACUUAAUUUUGGUUUUGCCUAAAAGUGUGAAAGUGGUAAAAAGCCUGACCUAGUUCUUUUAUGUCAGUGCAAUCUAGCAGGUUAAUUGAUUCAAAGCACUGUGAACUCUUGAGCGAUUACUGCCUUAAUUUUUCUCAUUUUCUAUAAGUUUUAGGCAGUAUCGUAUUUGUAGAUUAAAGGGAUAGGAUCUGGGUGGCUGUACGUUUUUAGGCUUGCUGGAGAAGCCGUAUAGUUUCCCAGUGUUUGGCGGAUGCGUCUUGGAGAACAUCCAUGUGAAAUUUUUAAUGAAGAAAUUAACUGAUGAAACUCUUCUUUUGGUGGAGUCUUCAACUGUGUUAUCUGGUUUUUUCUGCAGCGAAAUGCUUGGUUUAUCCAUAUUAGGUGUGCAUGUCUAGUGUCUGGAGCUCUCUUUGCUAGACACAUCAUGUAUGAGCAAAGUUGAUGAAGCAAAGAUAAGGAUUUGAAGGCCUUAAUGGAAUUUUUGACUUGCCAUGGUGGAUAUAAAAACUGGUAUAUACUGCUAAAGUAGGCUUGAACUUACUAAAUCGAAGAUGGCUGGAGUUGGAGCAAGAAGGAAAGAAGGCGUGUCAGUGGCAUAUAUACACCACAAUUUUCAGCUGGUGUUACCGUAUGGAGUCUUUUUGUCGGAGCUAUGGGUAUCCUUGUUCCUGUGAUUGGCUCAUUAUCAAAUAAUAUAGUUCUGUAGAUGGAAGGUUUCCUUUGUUGAACUGUAAAUACAAAUGUGGAAUUGUGUGAAAGAGUGCAUGCCCAUUAAUCCCAUACCUAUGCUGAUAACACCGUGUUAGUUCUAGACUCGACUGAUUGGAGAUUGUGAAAGAAGGAAAGCUUGGAGUAUGCUGCCAUCUUUGUGGAGACUUAUUAUAGUAGUCUAAGCAGGUGGUAUUGCCAAAGCAUUGAACAGGUGGAUUCAAAGUGAUAGUCACUUGUUUUUGUGUCUGGAUUUUGGGGGUGUGCUAGUGUAAAGUGUGUUGCUGAAAUGAAAGAGCACCUUGAUCUGACUGUCAAAAAAACUAUAGUUCAGUUUAUGUGUAUACGGUUGUAGAUUAA